rnacentral:lncRNA from 1 species
CUUUCUUUUUUGCCGCAACCUGUUGCAUUAGUAGUUUUUGCUUUUCGGAGACCUGGUUUUGACCACUUGAAGUGUAUUUGAGUUUCGUUUUCAACAUGAAAAUGGAGCUGGGGGUGCCCCUUUUUAUCAAAGAAAAACAAUGCCGGAGAAUUCACACCUCAGUUUGAAUGAUUAUUGUAUGGUUCUGAGGACUGAUAUUCGGCACUUCGUCUCGUAUGUUCACACACAACAUAGUUUGGUUUCAUAGCCUGGCACCCAGAAAAGCAUAGUAGCUUCUCACGAAUGUGGAUCACCUAGCUGUUUCAGAGCACUCCAGGAACAUGCCAGCAAGGCGUCGAGCACCCAUAGGGUGGCAAAGCAAUGUGGAAAUGUGUGUAAUGAUCCUUCAUUCAGAUUCGGCCAUUUUUUU